AAUAGAUACCCUGGUAGUCCACGCCCUAAACGAUGACGACUGGAUGUCGGAGGGGUCUGCCUUUCGGUGUCGUAGCUAACGCGUUAAGUCGUCCGCCUGGGGAGUACGGCCGCAAAGUUGAAACUCAAAGGAAUUGACGGGGACCCGCACAAGCGGUGGAGCAUGUGGUUCAAUUCGAUGCAACGCGAAGAACCUUACCUGGCCUUGACAUCCGCGGAACUCGGCAGAAAUGCCUUGGUGCCUUCGGGAAUCGCGAGACAGGUGCUGCAUGGCUGUCGUCAGCUCGUGUCGUGAGGUGUUGGGUUAAGUCCCGCAACGAGCGCAACCCUCGUCGUGUGUUGGAUUUCUCGACACGAGACUGCCCGGUAGCAACCGGGAGGAAGGCGGGGAUGACGUCAAGUCAGCAUGGCUCUUACGUCCUGGGCUACUCGCACGCUACAAUGGGCAGUACAGACCGUUGCGAUACCGCGAGGUGGAGCUAAUCGGACAAAACUGUCCUCAGUACGGAUUGCAGG
rnacentral:rRNA from 1 species